AGAGUCUCACCUGCUCGAUGGCUUUUAGUUAAAUGGCCGCUUUUUUGUGCUGAGGUAGCGUGGUAAGUAGCCCCUUGAUUGGGGGAUAGAAUGAAUGGUUGGACGUGAAGAAGCUGUUUCCAAUGUAGUUAAAUAGAAAUUUUUUUUUAAGUGAAAAAGCUUAAAUUUUUGUAAAAGACGAUAAGACCCUGUCGAACUUGAUUAGGUUUAAUAUGUUAUUUUGAAAUUUUGAUAUAUGAAGUUUAUUUGAAAUUGUGGUUUGAUCUUUUAAACUAUGCGGAUAAAGUUGUUAAAAAUUAUACUAUUCUGAAUUUUUGUUGGGGCAACAGAUGUUUAUUAAACAACAUUUUAUUAUUAUAAAGACCCUAUAUGAUGGACUAAAGCAAAAGUUACCGCAGGGAUAACAGCGUAAUUUUUUUUUAUAAGUUUUAUUAAAAAAAGAGUUUGCGACCUCGAUGUUGAAUUAAGAAAACUUUAUGGCUUAGGCGCCAUAGUGAGUGAAACUGUUCGUUUUUUAAUUUCUUACAUGAUCUGAGUUCCAAACCGGGAA
rnacentral:rRNA from 1 species